GACGAACGCUGGCGGCGUGCUUAACACAUGCAAGUCGAACGGAAAGGCCCUUCGGGGUACUCGAGUGGCGAACGGGUGAGUAACACGUGGGUGAUCUGCCUCGUACUCUGGGAUAAGCCUGGGAAACUGGGUCUAAUACCGGAUAGGACCAUUCCUCGCAUGGGGGGUGGUGGAAAGUUUUUCGGUACGAGAUGGGCCCGCGGCCUAUCAGCUUGUUGGUGGGGUAAUGGCCUACCAAGGCGACGACGGGUAGCCGGCCUGAGAGGGCGACCGGCCACACUGGGACUGAGACACGGCCCAGACUCCUACGGGAGGCAGCAGUGGGGAAUAUUGCACAAUGGGCGCAAGCCUGAUGCAGCGACGCCGCGUGAGGGAUGACGGCCUUCGGGUUGUAAACCUCUUUCACCAGGGGCGAAUUUGACGGUACCUGGAGAAGAAGCACCGGCCAACUACGUGCCAGCAGCCGCGGUAAUACGUAGGGUGCGAGCGUUGUCCGGAAUUACUGGGCGUAAAGAGCUCGUAGGCGGUUUGUCGCGUCGUUCGUGAAAACUUGAUGCUUAACAUCAAGCGUGCGGGCGAUACGGGCAGACUUGAGUACUACAGGGGAGACUGGAAUUCCUGGUGUAGCGGUGAAAUGCGCAGAUAUCAGGAGGAACACCGGUGGCGAAGGCGGGUCUCUGGGUAGUAACUGACGCUGAGGAGCGAAAGCGUGGGUAGCGAACAG
rnacentral:rRNA from 1 species